rnacentral:rRNA from 1 species
UACGUAGGGUGCAAGCGUUGUCCGGAAUUAUUGGGCGUAAAGAGCUCGUAGGUGGUUUUGUCGCGUUGUUCGUGAAAACUCACAGCUUAACUGUGGGCGUGCGGGCGAUACGGGCAGACUGGAGUACUGCAGGGGAGACUGGAAUUCCUGGUGUAGCGGUGGAAUGCGCAGAUAUCAGGAGGAACACCGGUGGCGAAGGCGGGUCUCUGGGCAGUAACUGACGCUGGAGGAGCGAAAAGCGUGGGU